UGUAUCUCCAUUUGGAAAAUGUCUCGUAAUCAAAAAGACAUCCUCUUAUCUUAAAACCAAGAUAAUUGAGGAUAACUGUCCGAACGAUGCUGGGAGUCAAUCGGCUGUUUUCAACUUUAAAAUGGAUUGUUCUGUACGGUGUUCAGAACUCCCAGAUUGUAGGAGAUACAUGACAUGCAUUGAUUCUACUACUAACCGUUUCAACUGUAAAUUAUACAAUAGUGGAGAAGAUUGCUUAGUGCGUGAGGGAACUGGACAAGGGUGUGACUGUUACAGGAAGGAAUACACAUGUGAAGAGGCGGGGUCAUGUAACUGUCCAAUAGGUUAUUAUGGAUCUAACUGCAGUUCUAUUAUUAAAGACUGUAAUGAGGGAAAAACCAGAAAUUCGUAUCCCAGCAACAUACCAAUAGCAUCCUUCAUACAGCCAUCUCCAAAUAUGGUACCAUUUCAAGCCUUCUGUAAUUUCAAGAGCGGACUUACAUAUAUACAAAGGCGCAGUUCGGCUUGUUCAGCCAUCAGUUUCAAUCGAACAUUUGAUGAAUAUGUAAAUGGUUUCGGUAACAGUGAAGCGGAGGUUUGGUUGGGUUUAGACAAAAUUAGAGCCAUCCAGGAAGCGAAUGUUGGGAAUAUUCUAGGAUUAGAAAUAAUGCUAUUACUACAGAACAACCCCAGUGAUCCUUAUAAAAAUGCUUUGUACAGAUCUUUUACUGUUGGUAAUUCUAGCACUAACUAUGCGUUCCAGGCACAAUAUUUAAACUAUGGCGACGCUGGUAAUGCUCUUCUUGAUUUCCCAAAUAUCUACAACAGCCAGUUUUCAACCUAUGACAGAGAUGUUACUAGUUUUGACUGUCCGGCAUCGUUUGGGGGAGGAUGGUGGUAUGCAAAUGAAUCGGCUUGCUGCCAAGCUAAUAUGAAUGGCCCGCAGGUUAAAUGGCUCGAUAAUUUUGGAGGCAAAUUCAUAUAUUAUUCCUUUUUGGGUAUUCGUGUAAUGUAAUGUAACCGUGGUAAUAUAACUGAUGAAAUUACAACUACCUUUUUAAUGUUUUGAUUACUUUUAAACCGUUUUUUACAUCUUAGUAAAGUGACUCUUAAUAUGAAGAACAUAUAACGUAUGCAUGCCAUAGUAUAUGGAUUGUAUUAUUAUUUUUUUAGUAAAACAAAGAAUAACGUUCAUUGCUUAUACUGUAGCACAAAAUGGAAAUUUCUUGGAUUUAUGAUAGGCCGAAAAGCGGUGUCGUGGGGCGACUCACUGCUAGUCCGACAACGGUUGUAUGAACAAUUUAAGCCUCCUAAAGCCACUCUGACACUUGCACGAUCUUCGUUCCCCCAUUUCGGCGUGUCAAUGAUUAAAGUUUUCGGUAACGAGCGCGAGGAGUGUGUUUGGAGAGUGCAGGCGUGCGCGCCAUGUCGUAGAAAGAAUUUUGAGAUUUUCAAAAAUUCGACACGCAUCACUGUUCGAUGCCAUGUGCGUGCCACUUGCAUUAACCAUGUGUGAACACUGCGAAAUCGACGCGAACAGUGCGUGUCAUAGGAAUCCACUACAAGCGCUGACAAACAAAUCUCAACACUAUAAAUUACGCAAUGCCACUACUUGUUUAUGCAUAGGUUAAAGGACAAUAUUUGUGCCAGUCAUUAUCACAUAUGUGAUAGAUCUGGUUAAACACAUUCCAAAUAUAAUUU